rnacentral:RNase_P_RNA from 1 species
GGCUCUUAAGAGAUGAUCGCUCCUGCCAUUUUUUUGGCAGGGGAGGAAAGUCCGAGCUCCAAAGAGCAGGGUGCUCCGUAACGCGGAGGCCCAUAAGCCGUAAGGCAAAUGGGACGGAAAGUGCCACAGAAAAUAAACAGCUCAUUCACAAGAAUGGGUCAAGGUGAAACGGCGGCACUUGCAAUCUUUGCAAGCAAAGAUUGCAAGUACAGUCAUAACAAACCAUAGAAAUAUGGGUUGUUAUGGCGGUGUAAGAGACCACCGGUCCCAAGGUAACGCGGGACGCAUGGCAAACCCCACUUGGAGAAAGACCGAAUAAAAGGCAUACGGCUCGCCUUAAAAUUCAUCGGGCCGGGGAAUGGCUCGUUCCUCAAGCCUUGGGUUGGUCGCAUAAGAUGUUGUGAGAGCAACAUCUCAGAUAGAUGAUCAUCAUCUUACCAUACUGUUUGUAAGCAGUGCGGUGGGGACAGAACUCGGCUUAACUUAGGACCUGCGU